rnacentral:piRNA from 1 species
GGGAAUCUGAUCGCCUGUAUCCUACC